GUAGCCAAAGUCCCAGGACACAAAUCAAUAGCGCAAGUCGGCUGAGUAAGAGUUAGAGCUGGUUUCUCAUUUGACAUUUCGUGAUUGUUGUUCUGCACAGUCACUGUAAUGUAACCAUCUUUAAUUUAAACUGCGUUAUUGACUCAAGCUUGUUAAACAAACCUUUAUUGACAGGUUUAAGUUAUAAUGUUGACAAAAUGGGAGAAUCAAGGUGCAAAUCUACAGAUAAAAGAUUCUGGGGAAUCACAUCAUAGAAAUUAACAGAAAAAGUCUGAACCGUUACGUUCUCAUGAUAACGUGCUAAUGUUAGGGAAGAUGUCGUACUUAGUCAUUAGUGAAAACAUUUCAUUCAUUUCUGAUCUGAACAGACUCCCUUUGAUGUCUGCUAACACACCACGAUAUUUGUACGAAGAGACCCCAACAACAUACAAUGCAAAGAGAUAUUUCUCACAGCGUUCUAGUUUUAUUUUCGAAAUACUGACUUUUUAGCUUUGGAAAACACAACUUUAUGCUUAUAUGAUUCCUGAAAAUAUUCCAACUUCAGUAGCAAAAACUUUAUAGCUUUUCCCUUUUUAAACCAUCCCAAAUUGUGCAACUUUGCACGCAUGAAAAUUCUACUUCAUAUAUAUUCUAAAAGAAAAAUAAAAGGAGAACUGUACUGCUGAAUGGAUGAACUGGUUAACUGAUUGACACAAAAACAAACCUAUUUUCAUAAAUCAAUUGCUUGCUUUAGUUAU